rnacentral:rRNA from 1 species
UUAACCUACGGGGCGCAGCAGUGGGGAAUAUUGCACAAUGGGGGAAACCCUGAUGCAGCAACGCCGCGUGAGUGAAGAAGUAUUUCGGUAUGUAAAGCUCUAUCAGCAGGGAAGAAGAACGACGGUACCUGACUAAGAAGCCCCGGCUAACUACGUGCCAGCAGCCGCGGUAAUACGUAGGGGGCAAGCGUUAUCCGGAUUUACUGGGUGUAAAGGGAGCGUAGACGGCAGGGCAAGUCUGGAGUG